AGAGUUUGAUCCUGGCUCAGGACGAACGCUGGCGGCGUGCUUAACACAUGCAAGUCGAACGGUAAGGCCCUUCGGGGUACACGAGUGGCGAACGGGUGAGUAACACGUGAGUAACCUGCCCCGGACUCUGGGAUAAGCAUUCGAAAGGGUGUCUAAUACUGGAUAGGACCUUCACCUGCAUGGGUGGGGGUGGAAAGAUUUUUUGGUUCGGGAUGGGCUCGCGGCCUAUCAGCUUGUUGGUGGGGUGAUGGCCUACCAAGGCGUCGACGGGUAGCCGGCCUGAGAGGGCGACCGGCCACACUGGGACUGAGAUACGGCCCAGACUCCUACGGGAGGCAGCAGUGGGGAAUAUUGCGCAAUGGGCGGAAGCCUGACGCANCAACGCCGCGUGCGGGAUGACGGCCUUCGGGUUGUAAACCGCUUUCACCCAUGACGAAUUUUUUUAUGACGGUNGUGGGAGAAGAAGCACCGGCCAACUACGUGCCAGCAGCCGCGGUGAUACGUAAGGUGCGAGCGUUGUCCGGAAUUAUUGGGCGUAAAGAGCUUGUAGCGGUUGUCGCGUCGAAGUGAAACUCGGGCC
rnacentral:rRNA from 1 species